AAGGCCUACCAAAGCAAAGUUUUCAAAAAAAGAAAAACACAUGUGUAAGAAAAAAUGCAGUUAAGCACUUUUCAUUCUGUAAUGAUCCUUCCGUAGGUGAACCUGCGGAAGGAUCAUUACAGAAUGAAAAGUGCUUAACUGCAUUUUUUCUUACACAUGUGUUUUUCUUUUUUUGAAAACUUUGCUUUGGUAGGCCUUCUAUAUGGGGCCUGCCAGAGAUUAAACUCAACCAAAUUUUAUUUAAUGUCAACCGAUUAUUUAAUAGUCAAAACUUUCAACAACGGAUCUCUUGGUUCUCGCAUCGAUGAAGAACGCAGCGAAAUGCGAUAAGUAAUAUGAAUUGCAGAUAUUCGUGAAUCAUCGAAUCUUUGAACGCACAUUGCGCCCUUUGGUAUUCCAAAGGGCAUGCCUGUUUGAGCGUCAUUUCUCCCUCAAACCCUCGGGUUUGGUGUUGAGCGAUACGCUGGGUUUGCUUGAAAGAAAGGCGGAGUAUAAACUAAUGGAUAGGUUUUUUCCACUCAUUGGUACAAACUCCAAAACUUCUUCCAAAUUCGACCUCAAAUCAGGUAGGACUACCCGCUGAACUUAAGCAUAUCAAUAAGACGGAGGAAAA
rnacentral:rRNA from 1 species